rnacentral:rRNA from 1 species
UACGGAGGGGGCUAGCGUUGUUCGGAAUUACUGGGCGUAAGGCGCACGUAGGCGGCUUUGUAAGUUAGAGGUGAAAGCCCGGGGCUCAACCCCGGAACUGCCUUUAAGACUGCAUCGCUUGAAUCCAGGAGAGGUGAGUGGAAUUCCGAGUGUAGAGGUGAAAUACGUAGAUAUUCGGAAGAACACCAGUGGCGAAGGCGGCUCACUGGACUGGUAUUGACGCUGAGGUGCGAAAGCGUGGGGAGCAAACAGG